GGUCAUAUGUUUUUGGUUAAUUCAUGUCUUUAGUCGGUAUUGAUUGGUUAGAGAGGUGUUGCAGAUUUAUUCUCCACUAUCAUGGUUACCGAUCUCCCUAAUGACAAUACCAUCGUAGUGGAAGAGCAUUACAACGAAAUUGCUUGCUAGAAACUGCAAGUUGGGGUUGAAAUAGUCAUCACUUAUCACUUAUCAAACUAUAACAUUGGUAAUCAACAAUUUAUACAGAACACCCCUUGAAAUUACCUUUUGAACCAUUUUGUUCAAGAGAUCUUUUUGCUUUAUCCCAACUCCCAUUGCAAACAAAUUGGUUGAUGCAUUUUCCUUAUUUUGUUCAAAUGUGUCCAAGUCAAAACAUAACCACAAGAGGAAAGAAAAAUAACUAGGAGAAGAAUAGCAUAAAAGAGAAUGCAGACUGAGGCUGAACUCAAUUGAAGAGACUACUUAGCCUACUCAGAUGAAAUAGUAAUUUGGAAACAACACUGUGCAUGAAAACUAUUUCAUUGUUUAAUCCUAAGGUAAGGAUUUAUUUAUAUACCUCAUUGUAGCGUUGUGCAAAGAAUAAAGUGAAAAAAUAAUUUGAUAAGGGAAAACCUCCUUUAUUUGUGUUAUUAGUCUUUUUCUAAUUUAUAGGACAAGAUGACAUGAGAAAUGAGUCAAAGUGACAACUUUACAGAAAUUUCAGCUAAUGAUAGUGUGGGUAAAGUAUUGGGAAAUGAUCAUACCAGGCGUAUGCGUUGCUUAGGACUAGGAGAAUGUCAAGACAUUAAAAAAUGUCAUGCUUGCAUACAUCCAAAUGAAGGAAGGGCAUAUUCCUUUUGAGCUGGGUGCUAUGUUUGGUCAUAACACUAGUAACGCAGUUGAUGAAGGAAGUAGACAAGAUGGGCCAACACCAAGAGGAGAAUCAUCAUUAGAUAGUAAUUUUCUUGCAACUUGACAUAUGUUGCUUAAUUCCUUUUGAUAUAUGCUAUUUUGGAUGUAAUAUAUGUUUCAAGCUUUCAAUGGUUGGCUAAUUAGAUUUCCUUGAACA